rnacentral:lncRNA from 1 species
CACAAGAGUCCAGAUUAGGUGCCUGACAGCAAAAAGAAACCAAACACUCCAAUUCAAAAGGGCAAAAGAAGCAGGAGCUAAUGAAGAAAGAGCAUGGACAGGGAGUCAGAAUAAGAACUUCUACGGUCACAGUCACCAAAACAUUAUAUGUCCCUCUUCCCUUCCUCCCAUAUGUAGCUUAUAAACAACUUAAAGGCAUAUGAUAAUGUCAAGACCUUCAAAGGAAAUUCUUAUUUUUCUAAUGGUAAUGAUUCUGUUUUUUUUUUUUUUUACAAUUUUCUUUCAAAAUCUUUAAAUGGUGAUAUUUAUACAAUAUUUAUAUCUGAAGCAGCACAUUAUUGAACCUAUGAGCUUAUAUACACUUAGCACAGGGUUGUAAGUUUGAAGACCAAAAAUAUAGGAGUACUAACAGUAAAGGAUGGUGUAUUUUCUAAAAUUAACUGGUUAGUGGAAAUGUAAUCAUUCAUUAAGCAGUUAUUGUAUACUAGGUACUAACUGGAGGGAUGAGAGGUGAACAAGACAGGCAAUGCUCCUGCUUCAAAAGACCCCAAUCGCUCUGUCUCUAAAUGACUUUCUUUGUCUAUAAAACAGAUAAGAAAAAGUACUUCCUUACUUGAGUUACUGUGAGUCUCAGACAUUCUUUUGGACAAAUUAAAAAAUAUGAAAUGUGGGGUAAGGCAAUUAUAUUUCUGGUGUCUGUUUCAAUUACAGCCAAGUCAUAGACGUACAAACAAAUCUUGCAAGUAAAGAGUUUCAGAAAAUAGCUUCUUUAACAGAGUAAGAUCUUGAUGUGGGAUAAAUAUUCAAUUUUCCGUAAAUAUUUAAGUUUUUCAAGAUUUAUUUUCCAUAAAUCUUCAAGUUAACAUAUGAUGUUAAUGACAAUAUUUCAUUAAAAUCAAUCAAUAAAAAGAAAAGAAUACAUAUGUAUUCAUAGAUAUGUACAUAUACAUAUAUGAGUGUGUGUGUAUUUAGGGAGAAAACUCUUUUGGAGAGCAAUAAAUCUUAACUAACUGUGGGCAUCAGGCAACCCUUUUCAAUUCUGCCAGAGACUGGAUAUGUUGCCCCCAAAUUCAUAUGUUCAAGCACUAACCUCCGGUGUGAUGGUAUUUGGAGGUGGAAAUUUUAGGUGGUAAUUGGGUCAUAAGUGUGGAGCCCUCAUGAAUGGGAUCAGUGCCCUUAUAAGAAGAGACACGAGAGAGAUGGUCUCUCUCUCAGCAGACACUGAAUCUGAGAAUUCAGAAAGAAAAUGUCCAUUGCAAACUAGGAUGACCACUCUCAUCAGACACGGAAUCUGCUGGGACCCUGAUCUUGCACUUUCCAGGCUUCAGAACUAUGAGAAAUAACUGUCUGUUGUUUAGGCCAUCCAAUCUAUGGUCUUUGUUUUAGUAACCUGAGCUAAGAUAGUAAUUGGCUAUGAAGAAUGUGGUAACAAAUACCUGAAAAUGGGAAAGUGGCUUUGGAAUGGCAUGAAAGGUAAAGGCUGGGCAAGUUUGGAGAUUCGUGCCAGAGAAAGCCAAGAUUAUCAUGAAGGUGAUUCUGGUGAGGAUGCAGAAAGAAAAGAAGAAAUCUGUUGAGAAAUCUUCUGUCUUCUUAGAGAAUGAGUAAAUUAUCAUGAACAGAAUGUGGCAGGUAAAGGACAUUCUGGUGAAGCCUCAGAAGGAAAUGCUGAACAUAUUAUUGGACAAUGGAGAAAAGGUAAUUCUUGUGAUAAAAUGGCAAAUAUCUUGGCUGAAUUUAUGUUUGUGUUCUAGUGUUUCAUGCAAGGUAAAACUUGCAAGUGAUGGAUUUUAACUGAGGGGCUAUCUAAACAAAAAGUUCAAGGAGUGACUUGGUUUCUCCUGGUUUCUAAUGGCAUAAUUUGAGAAAAGACAAAUGAAUUGAAGAUGAAAUUUUUCAUCAAAAAGGAACAAGAACUUGAAGAUUCAGAAAAUUAUCUUCCUGUCCAUAUUACAAAAUAUGAGAAAGCAUGCUUGGAAGAGAACACUAAGCAUGUGGUGGACCAACCAUUUGAUAAAGAGACUAGUGUAGGUGUGAAAUAGAGACCUAAUCAGCUACUGUAGCAGAAACACUGCCCAUUUAAACUGAAGUGAAUGGUGACAGGAUGGAAUAGAGGAAGGCGGUUGACCUUCCUGAAUUUUAUAGGAAAGACCCCAGAACUAUUCUUCAGGACUAGGGAAGAAUGACUCAGAGUUCAUCAAGUUUUCCUCCUCAUUUUCAAAAGUUAGGACAUCACCUUGGUUUCAACAGGCUAGACCACUUCUACCUAAACUCUGGGGCAGGGCCACCUGGAGCCUUGAGGGUAGUACCUGCACUUGGCAGAGCUUCAGGUGCAGGACCUUCACCCCAGUGGGUCUGAUAGGAAGAGCACUGAGCCAAAGAGGAUUAUUCUUGAGCCUUAAAAUCUAGUAGAAUUUGCCUUAGUAGGUUUUGGAAUUGCUUGGGACACAUCAUCCCUUCCUUCUCUACCAUUUUUGGAAUGGGAAUGUCUAAGCUAGAUCUAUCUUAUCAUUGUGUUUUGGAAACACAUUUCUUGUUUGGUUUCAUGGAUUCACAGGUGGAGAGAAAUUUUGCCUCAGGACAAAUUCUACCUUGAGUCUCACCCAUAUCUGGUUCAUAUAUUUAGAAUUUAGAUGAGACUUUGGACUUUACUUAUUUUUUAAUUUAAUUUUAUUUUUUUGCUUUUUAGGGCCACACCUAUGGCAUAUGUAAGUUCCCAGGUUAGGUGUUGAAUUAGAGAUGCAGCUGCUGGCCUACAUCAUAGACACAGCAAUUCAGGAUCCCAGCCGCUUCUGUGACCUACACUGCAGCUCACAACAACACCAGAUACUUAAUCCACUGAGCAAGGCCAGGGAUCAAACCCACAUCCUCAUGGAUGCUAAUUGGAUUCAUUACCACUGAGCCAUGAUGGAAACUCCAAGACUUUGGACUUUAGAGUUCAUGGUAGAAUGAAUUAAGACUUUGCAUGUUUGUGGAUGAAUUGACCAUAUUUUGCAUAUGAGAAGGACACAUAUUUUGAGGGGCCAAGAAUAGCAUGCUAUCAACUGAGUGUUUGUGUCCCUCCAAAAUUCAUGUGUUAAAGUCCUAAUUCUCAGUGGGAAGGUAUUUGUAGGGGGGCCUUGGGAGGUUAUUAGAUUAUGAAUAUGGCCAUGGUUGAAGACAGCCCAUUGCAAGCCAGGAAGCAGGAUUUCAUCAGACACCAAAUUUGCCAGCACCUCAAUCCUAAACUUCCCAAUCUCCAGGACUGUAAAAAAUAAAUGUUGCCUAAGACACCCAGUCUACAAUAAUUUGUUAGAGUAGCUAGAACUAAGACAAAUGUGCGGAAACACUAUGAAUGAAAGCUUGAAUAUGAAUGAUUACAAAAGCAGAAAAUAAACAAAGGGUAGAAAUGAAGUCAUUUGCCUGUAACGUAGAAACAAAGUAGAGAUUUCCUUGACCCUUUGCACAUUUUCCCACUCCCACCCCACCGAGUUUUAAAUUCAGUUUCUUGGUGUCCAUUAGGGUAAGGGAAGGAAAUAAUAUAUGAUUUGAGAACACUUUAGAAGUUGCAGCUGAAUAAGUUUUUAAAAAAAUGAACCAUUGAAAACAUGCCUGUUGACCAUGAUUUUAAAAUUCAUGCCUGACUUUCAGAAGACAAGGUAAAAAAAAUAACACAAGGCAAUUCAAUACUAUAGAACACAAAGGAGUCUGACUUGACUGCAUGAGCUUUGGUCAAAUUCGACUUAAUCGUCACAGAUUAGGAAAUACUUAAGCUCUUUCUUUUCACUUCCCUUUUCUCUAUGUCAUGAGGACUCAACAGCCCCAGCUGAUAGCGUCAUGGAGGUGCUGACAGGCGCCCAACCGUGGUGUGAUUAACUCAGCGUGCUGCUGCAAUUAGCCCAUCAAAGUUGUCUGGGGACUAGCGUUUCUACGAGGGUCACAAGGCAAAAAUGACCUGGCCUGUCAGUCCUUGUCUGGCUGGGGCCCAGUGCUAGCAUGGGGGAUGUCACAAAGCAAGUGGUCAUUGCGUCUUUAAGCAAUGAGAAUAAACAGGUCUCUGCUUGUGAAACUGAGCACAUAUUAAGCUAAGCCAUCCAGUACUUGACUUUGAGCAAGGCUCCCUUUCCUGUGUAUGUUCAUUUUAUUUUAUGGCCAUGUAAAAGCAACUCCAUGGCGCUGGCUGCAGUGGGAAAAUCAACAACAACACUAUAGAACAACCCACAAGCAAAAGCGGCCCCGAAAGAAAACAUCAGGAGAAAAAUAUGGAGGCAGAUCUCCCAAUCACCCUGGCAAGUAUUGGCCGUGUCAAACGUGAGAAUAAUUGAUUUUGACAUAGAGGAAAGUAGUAAUUGGAAUGAAACUUGUUUGAAUAACAGCUUAAAUGUUUCUUUCCUUGCUUUCCAGAUUACAUGCACUGUAAAGCUGGAUUUCUUUCUCCUGGCUAGUUCACAGAGGACAUUCUGUGUCCAGGGGGCUUGUGAAAUGAGGGGGAAAAAAAACUUGUGAAAUUUGCCUCUUUUUGGAUGACUUUUGGGCCCGGAUUCUAGGGUCACAUAUACAGUGUGCUGAUACUCCAUCCCAAAUCUUGCCUGUUACGAGCAUCCCACACAGACCAUUAUUAAGAUAAUGAAAGGCUGGACAGUGCCUGGGGGAGGGUGCUUCAUCCACUCCACUGGUUCAAAAACUGAAGUUAGAAUUUUUUCUAGUCUUCUUCCUUUUCACUGCUUUCCAGUUACAAUGAGUACAACGAACUGGAAGUUUAUGGCGCCCAUACCUUCACAUAUUGAAAUUCUACCCACCAAUGGGAUCGUGUUAAGAGUGUUAAGAGGUGGGGGCUUUGGGGAGGUGAUUGGGUCAUGCGCGCAGAGACAUCGUGAGUGAGAUUAGUAUCCUUAUAACAGAGACCCCAGAAGGAUCCCUCACCCCUUCCUCCGUAUGACUGGUACUGAGUCCAGAUUGUCCUACUUGCAUCACGACAGGCCAGUACAUAGGAAGAUGAACUGUUGGGGGAAAAAAAUGAUGACCGCAUUCAGAAAGCCAGUAGACUGAGGAGACGGCAGAUUCAUGUCUCAAAGAACCAUCUUACCCCAGUCAGAAUUCAGGCUCCUUUUAUAUAUAUAUAAAAGGUGGAUGAGUGGGUGUUUGUUGUAAACUUUUUGGUGUAGGUAUCCUUUGUUCUUACAGCUGUCCACGUAGGUCAGGUCGUGAUGCUCCAAUAAACCUCCUACAAAACCAGUGCUAGUCUCUGUUCUGCAACUUUUUAUCCCUAUAUGUAUGGACUCUUACGGUUCAGAGCCCUGAGAAUAGGCUGUCCUGUAUAUUUCAGUCUAUAGGCAACAUUCUUUUACAAAAGAUACAGAGCCAGUGUGACCAAGGAUAGGCCACAGAGCACAAAGGCUAAAGUAAAAGAAACAGAUCUAAUAAGGAGUCUGGUCUGUCCCAAAGGUUUGGCUAUGAGUAUUAAGAAUCCAUCCAGAGCUGGUAGAUGCAAACUAUUCCAUUUAGAAUGGAUAAGCAAUGAGGUCCUACUGUACAGCACAGAGAAGCUGUAUCCAUUCUCUUGGGAUAGAACAUGAUGGAAGAUAGUAUGAGAAAGAGAAUGUACAUAUUUGUAUGCCUGGGUCACCUUGCUGUACAGCAGAAAUUGACACAACACUGUAAAUCAAUUAUACUCUAAUCAAAACAAAACUAUUUGGAUCUCACCAUUUAUUGGGGGGGGGGAAUCUAAUACCAUCAAUCUGGCUCAUCUUAAGUUAAAGGCAUCUGCAUUUAUUUCUAGUGGCAGAAAAUUGAGGGAUAGUUUUCUAGUUUAUAUUAUAACCAACCAAAGCAGCAUUUUAAACUCUUUAAGAGUGGGUUGUCUCUCGGCCAAGAAUUAGGAGAUGCUUGUUACUAGUAAAAUCGCUUCUGACAUAUCCAAGACAACUCAGCCAGCAAGGGGGAUAUUAGAGGAGAUGACAAGCGAUUUUAACACCAACUGACAUCAUGUCCUGGCAUGUCAUGGUGAUGUCCGGAAGACAUCAUUCUUGCCGCUUAAAAUAUCUUGGUAAGAAAAAAAAUGCAGGGUGACUAAAGCGAUUUUUUUCUACCUGUAUGGAAUAUUGCUUGCCCUUUAGAUGUUAGUUCAAAGUGUGUUUUGAGAUAUUAUUUGAUCUAAUCAAAAUGAUUACAGGCCUAUCCUUUCAGAGCUGAAAUGAAAAUAAAAACAACUUUUAUUUGGACACAUCGAUGUGCCACAUAUAUUCACAUUUAUCGACUUCCUUUGUGCUCAUAGCCUCAAUGUGAUUUCAGUGGUAAAUAAAAACUCAGAGAUGCUAAGGCACUGGUCUGGUAUCACAUAGCUAGACAGUGACGGAGUCAGGACUUGGACUCAAUUUUGGUCCUCCAAGUUCAUUGGUCUUGUAACUGUGACACAUUUCCUUAGAGAUCAUCUCCUUCCUCUUCCAUUUUCGAGAUAAAAUAUUACGGUCUGCAGAGGCAAAUGCCUUUCGAAUCGUCUCCCAAGUGCCAGGCACACUGCCUUCAGAGACAUCUGGCUCACUAGCCUCGAAAUGAAGCUCAGUUCCUGUUAACAAGGUAGUUGUUUAUGGGCUCCAGCCCUCCUCUGCAAAGG